AGGGUGGCCCCGGGGCUGCGCCCACUGGUUCCUGCCCACGAGCAGCUGCCGGGACCCUCCCUGCCAUGUUGCUCCCUGGAAAGCACUAAGGCUCUCCGGCCUGCAGGUGGUGAAGCCGUCUAUUGUCCUUACCCCAAAGUUCCUGUCCCAUGACCAAAGCCAGCUCACCAAGGAGCUGCAGCAGCACGUAAAGUCAGUGCCAUCCCCCAUGCGAGUACCUGAGGAAGUUACACUACUCCAAGGGUGGGGUUCAGAGCACGUUUGCCCUGGGCGUGGAGGAGCGUCGUUUUCACAUCAGCACCCGGCUGGUAGCUGCUACGGCCAGUUUCCCCAACUUCAUGAAGCUGGAACAGACUUUCCUACAGGUGCAGCUCACCUGGAACAGAGGACAGCCUGUGACCCUGCAGCUCGCCUGGGCCGACAGGUUCUCAGCACACAGCACCUCCUGGGACGGCUGCCUGGCCACCGCCCCGGGGCAGCUCCAGGAAACCUGGGGCCUGGACACCCUCUGGGCGUGCAGGGCCGUAACACAGACCCCGGACAUGUUCAUUGAACAGCUUGACCUGUCCUGGGGCCAGCAGCGCAUGAGGCAGAACUUGACAUACAAGAGGCAUCAGCCAUCUCAGCCAGACAAGAUCAUCGUGGAGGCCACGCCGGAGCACGUCCUCGGGGCCUCUUGUGCCCGGCAGAGCUUCCGGGGAGAAGUACAGACUGACUAUGCACACUUGCUGCGGCACUCCCUCCACCUGGGGCUCUGUGACCUGUCCAGGGUCUGA
rnacentral:lncRNA from 1 species